rnacentral:rRNA from 1 species
AUUGAACGCUGGCGGCAGGCCUAACACAUGCAAGUCGAACGAGUGGCGGACGGGUGAGUAAUGUCUGGGAAACUGCCCGAUGGAGGGGGAUAACUACUGGAAACGGUAGCUAAUACCGCAUACCAUCGGAUGUGCCCAGAUGGGAUUAGCUCGUAGGUGGGGUAAAGGCUCACCUAGGCGACGAUCCCUAGCUGGUCUGAGAGGGGGACCAGCCACACUGGAACGGGGACACGGUCCAGACGCCUACGGAGGGAAGCAGUGGGGAAUAUUGCACAUGGGGCGCAGGCCUGAUGCAGCCAUGCCGGGUGUAUGAAGAAGGCCUUCGUGUUGUAAAGUACUUUCAGCGGGGAGGCGUUACCCGCAGAGGAAGCGCCGGCUAACUCCGUGCCAGCCGCCGCGGUAAUAC